AGAGCUCCGCGCUGCGGUGCAGCGAGCUUCCGGGGGAGGGGGGCGCGGUGCUCCCCACCGCGAGCGCGCUGCGUGUGCCGCGCGUUUCGCUCGCCCGACGCGCCGCGCCGCCCGCGUCAGUUUCCUCCUGGACCCGCUCUGGGGCGUCCGCGAUUCACUACCGGCGCCGGCAUCCGCUUUUCACCCCGUUUCCGGACACGCUCUAAUGUUAUUAGAAAUUUGACAAUCCGCUCUUCUCGUAUUUUUCCUGGAAAUGCAAUUCAUAAUGUUUACAUGAUAUCAGGGGCAAUUCAAGCUCUAGUCUUGUGGUGCUCAUAUUUGCAGCGUGUAAACACUUUGAAUAUUGACAAGGUCCCUUCUAUAACUCAAUAUACAGAAUUUGCUGCGGUGAAGUGAAGCGACUACUAAGUGUACUAAGUGUGUGCGCGCUUAAUUGGUAGUGAAGUUCUGAAGGUACGCUUUGGAUUAAAACAUACCAGCACUGAUUGGAUACUCUUAUUUCAG
rnacentral:lncRNA from 1 species